rnacentral:rRNA from 1 species
GGGGGGGGGGGGGGGGGGGGGGGGGGGAGGGGAGGCGGGGGGAAAGGCGCGGCUGGGGGGGGGUGCUCGAGGGGCGAACGGGUGAGUAACACGGGAGUAACCUGCCCUUGAGUUUGGGAUAACUUCAGGAAACGGGGGCUAAUACCGGAUAGGAGCUCCUGCUGCAUGGUGGGGGUUGGAAAGUUUCGGCGGUGGGGGAUGGACUCGCGGCUUAUCAGCUUGUUGGUGGGGUAGUGGCUUACCAAGGCUUUGACGGGUAGCCGGCCUGAGAGGGUGACCGGCCACCUUGGGACUGAGAUACGGCCCAGACUCCUACGGGAGGCAGCAGUGGGGAAUAUUGCACAAUGGGCGGAAGCCUGAUGCAGCAACGCCGCGUGCGGGAUGACGGCCUUCGGGUUGUAAACCGCUUUCGCCUGUGACGAAGCGUGAGUGACGGUAAUGGGUAAAGAAGCACCGGCUAACUACGUG